ensembl:lncRNA
CCUAUGAAAACUUAUGUCAGAAAGGGGGACUGCCUGAAGGUUUUUGCAUACUGAAGCAUGGACUUACACCAUUGCAUUUCAUUUAGAUGCUGGGAGGCGGUGUGUAGAGAGGUUAGUGAAUAAAUUAAGCAGUUUUGUUCAUUUUAUAGCUUGUUCCUUUAAGAGAUCACUUAUUCAGGACAGGCACAUCCAAACCUACAGCAGAUGCCUGCCACAUUGACAUGAAGAGGAAUUAAUGGGACAAGGAAUCAAAAAGAAAUGUUUGGAGCUGUCUUAAAAGCCCCAUCAGUGCAUGGGUCCCUCAUCACUGGAAGCCAUGGAGGACCUAAACUGUGUGACUGUGGGCACACUAAAGCGUAGAGUACGACAAAGGAAACGGAUUCAUGAGAUUAUCAGGACCAAAUUGCAGCGAAAACUCUCCUGCUCAGGAUCUAAAGUGAAGAGCACUCUAACAGGCUUCUUCCCCGUAGUGAAAUGGCUACCCAAGUACAAGGUGAAGGACUAUAUAUGGGGAGAUCUGAUGUCUGGGCUCAUAAUUGGCAUUAUAUUGAUCCCUCAAGCCAUUGCAUACUGCCUGUUGGCGGGCUUGGAUCCUAUCUAUGGCUUGUACACUUCAUUUUUUUCAAACAUCAUAUACUUCUUCAUGGGGACGUCAAGACAUGUUUCUGUGGGCAUCUUCAGCCUCAUGAGUCUGAUGGUUGGACAAGUUGUGGACCGAGAGGUCUACCUUGCAGGCUUUGAUCUGAAUGAAGACAGUACGAAAAGCGCAUUUGGGAUAAAUGGUACUGGGGACGCUAACAGUACUCUGGUCAACUUGAAGAUCAUGGCACUGGAUAUGGAAUGUGGAAAGGAGUGCUAUGCCAUUGGCAUUGCCACAGCAGUAACAUUUCUUGCUGGAGUCUACCAGGUGCUGAUGGCCGUUCUCAGGCUGGGGUUUGUCUCUGUUUAUCUGUCUGCUCCUAUGCUUGAUGGCUUUGCCACUGGGGCAUCUUGCACUAUCCUCACUGUCCAAGCCAAGUACCUGCUUGGCCUUAAGAUCCCUCGACACCAAGGCUACGGCACUGUGGUGGUCACUUGGAUCAAUAUGUUUAAGAACAUCCACAAAACCAACUUCUGUGAUUUAAUAACAAGUGCCAUUUGCAUCAUAGUGCUGGUUGCAGGAAAAGAGAUCCAGGAUCGCUAUAAGGACCGUUUGAAGAUACCACUGCCCACAGAACUGGUGGUAGUGGCAGUUGCCACAAUAGUCUCCCACUUUGCUGAUCUAAACGGACAGUUUAGCUCCAGUAUCUCAGGUGCCAUUCCAACUGGUUUCAUUCCUCCAAAGGUGCCCAGUAUUGAACUGAUGCCCCAUGUAGCAUUUGAUGCCAUUCCAUUAGCUGUCAUUAGUUUUGCUUUUACCGUUUCUCUGUCUGAGAUGUUUGCUAAAAAGAAUGGUUACACAGUUAGGCCCAAUCAAGAAAUGAUAGCAAUUGGGUUUUGCAAUAUAAUUCCUUCAUUUUUUCAUUCUUUCACUACAAGUGCAGCCCUUGCGAAAACUAUGGUGAAGGACUCAACAGGUUGCCAGACUCAGGUCUCCAGUAUAGUGAGUGCCUUAGUGGUUCUUCUGGUCCUUCUUUUCUUUGCACCAUUUUUCUACGCUCUCCAGAAAUGUGUCCUCGCCUGCAUCAUCAUCGUCAGUCUGCGGGGUGCCCUGCGCAAAUUUCGAGACGUCCCUACGCAAUGGCGUGAAAGCAAGAUUGAGGCAAUUGUCUGGUUGGUGACCAUGAGCUCAACUGCUUUAAUUAGCGUGGAGCUUGGAUUGCUGAUUGGUGUGGUCUUCUCUAUGAUCUGUGUGGUGGGCCAGACUCAGAAUCCUAAAGUUUCGUUACUGGGACAAAUUGAACAAACCAACGACUUUGAGGACAUGGAAGAGUACGAUAAUCUUUCACCUGUUCCAAAAGUGAAGAUCUUCCGUUUUCAGGCGCCUCUUUUCUAUGCCAACAAAGACUUCUUUUUAAAAUCUUUAUAUAAAGCAACUCAUCUUGAGCCAUUCCUUGAAAUAACCCGCAGAAGAAAACUGGAGAAAAAAGCUAGAGAAAAGGCAGCGAAGAAGACAGAUAGAGUAGAUGAAACAAAUGGAGAUGUAACUCUAAACUUGAUUUCAAAAAACAUUGAUUUUCAUACCAUCAUCUUGGAUUGCUCCUGCAUUUCCAUAAUAGACACAACAGGAGUGAGCACCUUCAAAAUGGUUUUAAAAGACUAUAAAGAAGUUGGUGUGAAUGUAAUUCUAGCUUGCUGCAACACACCAGUAAUAGAUUCUUUAAGAAGAGGCUCUUUUUUUGGGGCUGGUGACAAAGACAUGGAACAACUGUCAUUUCAUACUAUCCACAGUGCUGUUUGUUUUGCUACUAGUAUGACACAAACAGUUAAUGACUCGUCUGUGUAA